GGCUACGUAGCUCAGUUGGUUAGAGCACAUCACUGCAUAAUGAUGGGGUCACAGGUUCGAAUCCCGUCGUAGCCACCA
rnacentral:tRNA from 1 species